AUUGAACGCUGGCGGCAGGCCUAACACAUGCAAGUCGAGCGCGCGGCGGACGGGUGAGAAAUAUCUGGGAAACUGCCUGAGGGGGGGGGAUAACUCCUGGAAACGGGAGCUAAUACAGCAUACCAUCAGAGGUGCCCAGAUGGGAUUAGCUAGUAGGGGGGGUAACGGCUCACCUAGGCGACGAUCCCUCGCUGGUCUGAGAGGAUGACCAGCCACACUGGAACUGAGACACGGUCCAGACUCCUACGGGAGGCAGCAGUGGGGAAUAUUGCACAAUGGGCGCAAGCCUGAUGCAGCCAUGCCGCGUGUGUGAAGAAGGCCUUCGGGUUGUAAAGCACUUUCAGCGGGGAGGCGUUACCCGCAGAAGAAGCACCGGCUAACUCCGUGCCAGCCGCCGCGGUAAUUC
rnacentral:rRNA from 1 species